AAUUUGUUUCUUAAUUAGAAAAUAGAAUGAAUGAGUUUACCAUAUAGAGCUCUUCUAUUAGACCGCUGCAAAUUUAAAGGUUUGGUGAAAAUGCCAAAAUAUUUUACUUAGACGAUAAGACCCUAUGAAGUUUUAUUAAUACUGGUUCUAUUAUAAUUGUUUCUGCUUUUUAAUUUAGUUGGGGUAACAAAUAAUUAAUGUAUUUAUCACAUACAUUUACUAUAUAUUGAUCCUAUAAGGAUCUUCAGAUUAAGCUACUCUAGGGAUAACAGCACAAUAAUUUUAAAAGUUCUUAUUAGAAAAAUUGU
rnacentral:rRNA from 1 species